rnacentral:lncRNA from 1 species
UUAGUAUUUAAUUUAUAAAAAAAAAAAAAUUAAGUUACGGUUAUUUGGUUGAAAAAAAAUAGGAAAAACUUCAAAAACCACCUAUGUGGUUUCACACUUUUUCAUUUUAGUACCCUGUGGUUUAAAGUAUAUCAAGUUAGUACCCUGUGGUUUCUCACUUUAUCACUUUAGUACCAUGUGGUUUAAAGUGUAUCAAAUUAGUACCCGGUGGUUUUGUACUUUAUCACUUUAGUACCCUGUCGUUUCACACUUUAUCACUUUAGUACCCUAUAGUUUAAAAAACCACAGGGUACUAAUUUGAUACAAAAUCAAAAUCACAGAGUACUAAAGUGAUAAAAUGCAAAACCACAGGGUACUAACUUGAUACACUUUAAACCACAGGGUACUAAAGUGAUAAAGUGAGAAACCACAAGGUACUAACUUGAUACAUUUUAAACCACAGGGUACUAAAGUGAAAAAAAUUAAAACCACAAGGGGGUUUUUUGAAGUUUUCCCAAAAAAAUAUAUAUAUUUAUUCUUAUUAUAUGUAUUUUAUAUUAGAAAAAACUUUAAAAAACUCCCUGUAUUUUCAUAUUUUUUCAUUUUAAUGCCCUGUCGUUUAAAGUGUAUCAAGUUAGUAUCCUGCGAUUUCGCACUUUCUCACUUUAUUACUCUGUGGUUUAAAGUGAAUCAAGUCAGUACUCUGUGAUUUUUUUUUUUUAUCAAGUUAGUACUCUAUGAUUUUAUUUUUGUAUCAAGUUAGUAUCUUGUGAUUUUUAAACCACAGGGCACUAACUUGAUACACUUUAAACCAUAGGUUACUAAAGUAAAAAAGUGGAAAACCACAAGGUACUAACUUGAUACACUUUAAACCAUAAGGUACUAAAGUGAGAAAAAGUGAAACCACAAUGAGGUAUUUGAAAAUUUUCCUUUAUAUUAUUGAUAUAUAAUUAUUAUCAUAUUACAUAUAUUAGUGUUAUUGUUUAUAUUAAUAGAUAAAAUAUUAUAUAAUAUAUAUAUUGAGUUUGAUCGUGCUACUAUCGGUAGUUUACUACUGAUUUAUUUUUAAUAAUAGAGUUUUCAAAUCGAUGAUCGACACCGUUGAACAUGAUUUAGACUAUUUAAAUUAUCUAGAAAUCAAAUUUCAUGAUUUUUUGGCAUCACUAACUGAACGAUUAAAGGAUCACAAAAUCUGUAAUUUUAAUCGCUGAUAUGGUUCGUUUGCUCGUUUAAUUGCAUAAAAAAGUUCAAAUCAACUAAACUUUUGUUCGAAAAUUGUUUAAACUAUUUAAAACAAGAUCUAUACUCUACACCUUAAAUACAGAAAUUGUAUCAUCACUUUUUAAAAGAUAUUUAUUUUUAGCCAUUCAUUUUUCUGUUCACUCGAUGUACAAAAAAAUAAUAUAAAAAAUGCGUGAAAUUUCAUUUUCAUAUAGUUUAAAUGGUUUGGAUCAUGUUUAACAGUGUCGAUCAUCAAUUUGAAAGAUUUAUCAUCGAAAAUAAAUCGAUAGUAAAAAACUCUAAAUAUAUAUUAUAUAUAUAUAUAGUAGGGCUACUGUGCUAUUAGGAGCACAGCAGCCCUUGUGCUCCUAACUUUCUAAACACCCAUCAAGUUGGAUGGGUGAUUAGAAUAAGAGAGGGAGGAUAUAUAUAUAUAUAUAUAUAUAUAUAUAUAGAGAGAGAGAGAGAGAGAGAGAGAGAGAGAUUGUUGCUACCAGUUUUUUAGCCUUUGGAUCAACUAUUUUCAUUAUUUCUAACCAUUGGAUUAAAUAUUAUAACCCAGUAGGGACCACUCAACCCUAGAGAGACCACUCAAUUCUAACCGACUAAUAUCAUCCCGACUCUACAAUUUGUUGUCUAAGGGUUAAAAACUUGAUAGUAAAAAGAGCGUUUUACUAUUAAUAGUAUUCCAGCCUAAUUCUCUA